GCUCUGGAGAUCCGCUGCAUAUUGAUGGAGUGCAGAAGCUGCUCGAUGAGAGUCAGCCCAGUGUCACCACGGGACCCUCGAUGAGCGAAAGUGACACCGGAAGCUCUGCGAACCAAAAGUGCUCUGCGGGACCCUCAAUCAGCGGAAGUGAGACUAGAACUUCUGCGAACCAAGAGGGCACCGCAUCCUGCCCAGUAAGCGAGAUAAAGCUCCCCCUAGUCAAGAGCCGAGGCCGUCCAAACAAGCGGGUGCUGCAAAGCAGGUUAAAGCGACCAAAAGAACAAGAUGAUGGCAGACCAGUGCCAUUUGAGCAGCUGUCUGAGAAGUCGCAAACACAAUGUAAGGAAGAGUGCAUUCUGCUAUUUGAAGCUUGCAUUUAUUCUAGGCACCGUGUUUGCGUUAACUUUGAUUUUUUUUCAUUACACUUUCUUCCCAGUGAUAUUGUCUGGCCUCAUUGGUGACAGCCUGUGCCCAAGGGUGCUAGAUGGUGCCUACAUCUUACAGGAGCAUGACCUGGAAGUUCGUCCAGAAGCCCUCCCCAGUGCUCUGCUAGACUGCAGAGUAUCCUUGCCUAAACUAAAAAAAAAUACUUCAGUCCUGAUGCAUGGGCUCUUUUAACUUCCUCAGUUGCUGUAAAGAAGGAGAAAGGGCUGUGGAGUUGUAGCCUUUGCGAGCUGAUCGACGAUGGACAGACUAGUAUGGUUUGCUGCGACCAAUGCCUAGAGUGGUUCCACUGGCCAUGUGCUGGGAUCACGAAGGAAACUGCAAGGAAGCUGUGGUACUGCACUCGGUGCACUUCGAAGGGUUUCACAGCUGCCUCUGAUUAAGUUCUGCCAUCAGCCUGUUAAGAAUAGCACCUGCCAAAUGAAUUCCAUGUGCCUGGGGCACUUUUGAUAACUCCAAAGUAACCAAGGUCAAUAAAAUUAUUUGCCCCCUCUGACUUUUGUGGACUUUUACCGACAGAUGCCACAGUAUCCUGGUCGUCUUCAUAUCUGCAAUAUUUCAGCUUUUUAAAUUAUUUCGGAAGUCCAACUGGUUCGCGUGGCAGAAUGAUACAAAGGUGCACAGGCAGUCCUAGUUUGCAAUAA